UGGGCAUAGCGCUAUAUUUUUUUCUGAUCUGUUUUUCUCCCUUCCUUCAGGAUGUCUGUCUCUGUAAAGGAGCUGUGUGAAUUGAUGAACGUCAACUAUGAUAGGGCUGUUAUUGAGGCGAUUGCGAGGGUCAACAAUGAGGAGGAAGAUUCACUUGAAAGUGACAGUUCUCAGACAGCUGCCAAUGAGGAUUCUCUGGAAAGUGAUAAAGAAAAUCAUUCCGAAAUAGCUGCCAGUGAG